GGAAGUGUGGGUGAGUGGCUUAAACCAACAGUUUGCUAAACUGUCGUGCGGGAAACCGCACCACGCGUUCGAAUCGCGUCACUUCCG
rnacentral:tRNA from 1 species